rnacentral:rRNA from 1 species
CCAGAGUAGUACGGCCCUACAAAGCUUAACUUAAAGAACUUGGCGGUUUUCUAGACCUUUUCGGAGGAGCUUGUCAUCAAAUAGAUAACCCGCAAGACACCUUACCAACCUUAGCAACUUACAGUUUGUAUACCAUCGUCGUCAGCUCACCUCUAAAGAAAGUGAGCUUAAAGAUAAAACUCCCAACGUCAGAUCAAGGUGCAACCAAUAGGUUGGAGAUCGAUGAGCUACUUUAGUUCUAAACAGAGGACAUUAACCUGAAAAAGUAAUUAAAAAAGGAUUCGACAGUAAUAAAAGUUAAAUAAGAAUUUUAUGAAACAAGCUCUAGAAUACGCACACACCGCCCGUCACCCUCA